AGGAACUUCAGGCAAGUACCCACACUUUCUCUCCUGGGCCUGCACCACUAGAAGCCAAAUAUCUUUCCAAGGCAUGUUAAGGAGGCUUCCCACUUCUAACUUUCCAAAAGAAGGUCUUCAGUUUGUGCCUUUGAUCAGCUAAAGCAAGAAAGUAAGCAAGCAAGUGGUGAAGUGAACCCUUUGACAAAUUAAUUCCUUCCUGGUGAGCUGAGAAUUGAUUUUCUUUUUCUUGGCAUUUGAAGAAAGAGCCAUCUCAUGGGAACAUAUUGCAAAUCACUGUGGAAUCUAACGGCCUCUGAAGCGGGAAGAUAUGCAAAGAUCCUUCUUUCUACAAUGUGUCUAUCUGUGCAAGGGGUCACCUGAUAUAUUUCAGCACAAGACCGGGAGAGCUCCUUUUGGUAACCUCCCAGGAGUGCAUGACAUAGGACACUUUCUGUUGCUGUUGAAUUUUCCCUUGCAGCCUGCUGAUGCCCUGAUACACCAAAUCUUAGUCAGGAGAUCUUUACUCUUCAAACCGCAGCAAACCUUAACAGCUCCAUCGCUUCAGUUUCUUUUUAAUUAAAGUGUGAACUCCAACCUUUUGUCUAUGUAACUUGGUUCGCUCCAUCUUAGGUUUUAGCAUUUCCAUCUUCUCCCCAAUUUCAGCACAAUUUCUAGAACAAUCUCCCAUUGCUUAGAUAUAUGUUGGAUUACAGUCCCUGUCAUUCCCAGCCAGCAUGGGUAUGCUGUCCAGGACACGUGAGCACUGCAGUCAUCUAGAGGGUGC
rnacentral:lncRNA from 11 species